rnacentral:rRNA from 1 species
GACGGAGGGUGCUAGCGUUGUUCGGAAUUACUGGGCGUAAAGGGCGCGUAGGCGGCCUUCUCAGUCGGGUGUGAAAGCCCGGGGCUCAACCCCGGAACGGCACCCGAGACGGGUUGGCUGGAGACCGGGAGAGGAGGGUGGAAUAGCCAGUGUAGAGGUGAAAUUCGUAGAUAUUGGCUGGAACACCGGUGGCGAAAGCGGCUCUCUGGCCCGGUUCUGACGCUGAGGCGCGAAAGCGUGGGGAGCAAACAGGG